UACGUAGGGUCCGAGCGUUGUCCGGAAUUACUGGGCGUAAAGAGCUCGUAGGUGGUUUGUCGCGUUGUUCGUGAAAACUCACAGCUCAACUGUGGGCGUACGGGCGAUACGGGGCAGACUAGAGUACUGCAGGGGAGACUGGAAUUCCUGGUGUAGCGGUGGAAUUGCGCAGAUAUCAGGAGGAACACCGGUGGCGAAGGCGGGUCUCUGGGCGAGUAACUGACGCUGGAGGAGCGAAAGCGUGGGGAGCGAACAGG
rnacentral:rRNA from 1 species